CGUAGGCGCAGCGUGUCCGGAUAUGGCGUAGAGCUCGUAGGCGGUCUGUCGCGUCUGGUGUGAAUCCCAUGGCUCAACUGUGGCUUGCAUCGGUACGGCAGACUAGAGUGCUGUAGGGAGACUGGAAUUCCUGGUGUAGCGGUGGAAUGCGCAGAUAUCAGGAGGACACCGAUGGCGAAGGCAGGUCUCUGGGCAGUUACUGACGCUGAGGAGCGAAAGCAUGGGAGCGAACAGGAUU
rnacentral:rRNA from 1 species